GGGGACUUAUUUGGCCUUGAACAUGAGACAGAUGGGAAGGGUGCGAUGAUCAUGGCUAAAGGGUGAAUGUGGCAGAAGCUACUUAAGCUUUUAGUGCACACCGAGAAGUAUUUGUUAUCUUUUAUCAUGAGAUGGGUCUAUAAUGCUCCUGUCUUAAAUGUUUUCCCAUCAGCACCUUGCACGUCCUCAGAAGAUGUAAAAUCCUACCAUGGUCAAGGACUUGUACAUGGUGCAUACAAGAUCUGGUCCAUCCUGAGCACAUAAUUUUCCAUCCCAAGGAAGCAUGAGAGGAGCUCCUAUAUGUGACUGAGACAAGUCUAUCUUGGCCCAAAGAAAAACAUUUAUCCUAGGGCGUCUUUCAGAAAAGAGGAUCCAAAGCCUUUUAAUUGAGUCACUGCAGUCAACUACUUCAACUUUAAUCUUCCAGCUAAAACAUCUGUGUUUUAUACAGCCUUCAGAAAGGCAAAGGCCUUCUUGAAGACAUGUUCUGGAUCAACAUUUUUCACUUGAAAUGAAAGUACAGAAACCAGAAGAGACCUUGAAAUUCUCAUAGGACUAGAAAGACAAAUUUGGAAAUGUGAGGACACAAGAUUCCAAAGAGAAGAGACGAAUAAAUAACUGAACACUUGGAGAGCCAAUUUUCCCUCUAAGAAUUUUCCUAUAUCUGAGAUGAAUGACUUGAGAAGAGAUAUCCUCUGAAAAGCAUGGCAUUUAUUUUCUAUAGUCUCUUUGUAAUAUAAGAAUUGAAAUUCAGGAUUUGCCACAGGAUGCACCCC
ensembl:lncRNA